CACGUAGGGGGCAAGCGUUGUCCGGAUUUAUUGGGCGUAAAGAGCUCGUAGGUGGUUCGGUAAGUCGGGUGUUAAACCCCCAGGCUCAACCUGGGGACGCCACUCGAUACUGCUGUGACUAGAGUCCGGUAGGGGAGCGUGGAAUUCCUGGUGUAGCGGUGAAAUGCGCAGAUAUCAGGAGGAACACCAGCGGCGAAGGCGGCGCUCUGGGCCGGUACCGACACUGAGGAGCGAAAGCGUGGGUAGCAAACAGG
rnacentral:rRNA from 1 species